AUUUGGGUUUUGACAAGACUCCAAGGACUGGUCAGAAUCCCGUAGGUCCGACCAGUCGUUGAGGUUGUGUCGAAACCUAAAUU
rnacentral:pre_miRNA from 1 species